AUUGAACGCUGGCGGCAUGCCUUACACAUGCAAGUCGAACGGUAACAGGUCUUCGGAUGCUGACGAGUGGCGAACGGGUGAGUAAUACAUCGGAACGUGCCUAGUAGUGGGGGAUAACUACUCGAAAGAGUGGCUAAUACCGCAUGAGAUCUACGGAUGCAAGCAGGGGAUCGCAAGACCUUGUGCUACUAGAGCGGCCGAUGGCAGAUUAGGUAGUUGGUGGGAUAAAAGCUUACCAAGCAGACGAUCUGGAACUGGUCUGAGCGGACGAUCAGCCACACUGUGACUGAGACACGGCCCAGACUCCUGCGGGAGGCAGCAGUGGGGAAAUUUGGACAAUGGGCGCAAGCCUGAUCCAGCAAUGCCGCGUGCAGGAUGAAGGCCUUCGGGUUGUAAACUGCUUUUGUACGGAACGAAAAGCCCCGGGUUAAUACCCUAGGGUCAUGACGGUACCGUAAGAAUAAGCACCGGCUAACUACGUGCCAGCCGCCGCGGUAA
rnacentral:rRNA from 1 species